rnacentral:rRNA from 1 species
GAUGAACGCUGACAGAAUGCUUAACACAUGCAAGUCAUUGGCGAAGCUGCGCUUGCGCAGUCUAGCCAAGGUGGACGGGUGAGUAACGCGUAAGGAACUUGCCCUGCAGACAGGGAUAACAGACGGAAACGACUGAUAACACCUGGUAUUGUCAGGCUGGCGCAUGCCGGCCUGAUGAAAGGAGACGCUGCAGGAGAGCCUUGCGUCCUAUUAGCUAGUUGGUGGGGUAACGGCCCACCAAGGCGAUGAUAGGUAGCCGGCCUGAGAGGGUGAACGGCCACAAGGGGACUGAGAUACGGCCCUUACUCCUACGGGAGGCAGCAGUGGGGAAUAUUGGACAAUGGGGGCAACCCUGAUCCAGCAAUUCUGUGUGCACGAAGAAGGUUUUCGGAUUGUAAAGUGCUUUCAGCAGGGAAGAAGAAAGUGACGGUACCUGCAGAAGAAGCGACGGCUAAAUACGUG